rnacentral:rRNA from 1 species
CCUACGGGUGGCAGCAGUGAGGAAUAUUGGUCAAUGGUCGGGAGUCUGAACCAGCCAAGCAGCGUGAGGGAGGAAGGUACAGAGUAUCGUAAACCUCUUUUGUCAGGGAAUAAAGUCUGGCACGUGUCCCCUGUUGUGUGUACCUUAUGAAUAAGCAUCGGCUAACUCCGUGCCAGCAGCCGCGGUAAUACGGAGGAUGCGAGCGUUAUCCGGAUUUAUUGGGUUUAAAGGGUGCGCAGGCGGUCUGUUAAGUCAGCGGUAAAAGCCCGGGGCUCAACCCCGGCCCGCCGUUGAAACUGGCAGUCUCGAGUUGGAGAGAGGUAUGCGGAAUGCGCGGUGUAGCGGUGAAAUGCAUAGAUAUCGCGAAGAACUCCGAUUGCGAAGGCAGCAUGCCGGCUCCAAACUGACGCUGAGGCACGAAAGCGUGGGUAUCGAACAGGAUUAGAUACCCUAGUAGUC